rnacentral:lncRNA from 1 species
AAGGUUUCAUUUCAAAUAGUACAGAUACACAUGUUUAUUGUUCUUACAUAGAAUAGUAUUAACCCCUUUUAACAAACUAACAUUACUAACUUCUCUAACUUUCUAUAUUUACAAACUGACCCCUAGAGUAUAUAAUCUAUUAUAACACUCCCCAUCAAGCUGGAGGGUGAAAUAUAUCGAGCAAUCCUAGCUUGCUUGAGUAACUUGUGCUGGGCUGCCCAAGUCUUUUUGUUAUCAGGUCUACCAUUUGUCGCCUUGUGGGGAUGUAGUUGGUUGUGAUUACCCUUCCUUUGAUUCUUUCCCUUACAAAAAGUGAGUCAAUUUCUACGUGCUUUGACCUUUCAUAAAAAAUUAGAUUUGCUGCAAUUUACAAGGCUACCUUACAGUCACAAUAUAUAUGUAUAGGUUCCUUUAAUUUGUUUCCUAGUUCUUUCAGUAAAGCUUCCAUCUGCAUGAGCUCUGCUACAGCUACUGCCAUACUUCUGUAUUCUACUUCUACAGUGCUUUUACUGACACUGUUGCUUCUUUGAUUUCCAAGAUAGCAGGGAAUCUCCAAGUUUCACCACAUAACUUAUGACUGACCUCCUGGUGUUUGGGCAGGCUGCCCAAUAUGAGUCAUAAUAUAUUGUGAGAUCACUAGCAAUUCCACCUUUCAACAGAAUCCCCAAUCUUGGACUCUCCUUUAACAUAUGUGACAACUGUCAAAGUAGUUUCCAUAUGUGACUCUUUAGGAUGUUGCAUGAAUUGGCUCAAUACUUGGACUGCAAGGCAUAUGUCUUGCCUUGAAAUUGUCAAGUACAACAGGUUGCCAAUUAAUAUUGAUAGCUACCGGCUUCCUGCAAUUCUGCAUCAUUAACAUUGCUAACAUGUUUAUCAUAGUCAACUGUGGUGAGCUUGUGAUUUUGUUCCAUUGGUGUUGAUACUAGCUUCCAAGCACUUAGACGAACUUCUAAGAUUAAUUGUAAGGCAUACUUUCUCUGAUUGAGUAAAAUACCCUUGUUGGAUCUCAUCACUUCAAUUCCCAAGGAAAUAUAAGCUCCUUUAGGCACAUCAUCUUAAAGUUGUUGUAAAGUCUCAUUCGCUUCAUGUAUUAGGCUACUACUACUUUUUGAUAUUAAAAGAUCAUCCACAUAUAGUAACAUAAUAGAAAUAACUGUUCUGACAGUUACCAUCUUAACAACAGUGGAAAAAGUUUUAUGAUAGUCAAAGCUUUCCUGUUGUGUGUAGCCCUUAGCUACUAAUCUAGUUUUAAAUCUAUCAACCUUACCAUUGAUCUUGUACUUGAUUUGUAUAUCUACUUGGACCCAAUAGCUUGUUUAUUAGGUGGAAGAUCUAUAAUCUCCCAUGUAUGAUUGUCUUCUAAGGCUUGGAUCACUUGUUGCAUUACAAGCACCCAAUCUUGAUUUGAUGCUACACUCUUUGUAUGAUAUAGGUUCUGCUAAAGCAGAAAAAGCUUCAAGAUAGGUCAGAUAAGUAGCUAGAAGUUGAUCGUAAAACAGAUGAUUGGACAUAGAAUAGAUAUUUUUACCUGGUAGUUUAGUUGUAACAUAAUCCUUGAGCCAGAUUGGUUACUUGGUUUGUAUGUGAGAUCUUGUGGUUUCAAUAGUUGUAAUAGGUUAAGAUACGUCACGAGUUGGAGGUGAAUUGACAAAUAGAUAAUUUACAAGAGAUGGGAAGGUUGAUCCCUCCACCCGUGAAGGAACAGAUUAUUAGUCUUAAGUAAUAGGUAAGAGUCUCAAGAGCAUGAAGGUCUACUGUUGAUUCAGGAUCUGUAAAGGCUUCAUGUUCUAUUAAGGCAGGUGCAGAAUUAUCAUCCUUAUCUUGUGGAGUUGAUGAUGAUGGAGGAGGUAAACUAGGAUCAACAUAAUUCAUUGUAGACUGAGAAAAUAACGAUUCUUCAUCAUGAAUGUUAGAAGUCGGUUUGAAAGGGAAAGCAUAUUUUUGAAAUUUGUAAUCCCUGCUAACAAAAAUUGUAUGAGUAUCAAGAUCAUAUUUCCUAUAACCUUUUAAUGUCUCAUAGUAUCUAACAAACAUUGCUAUCCUUACUUUGGGGGUAAACUUAUCUCUUUUAUGAAGAUUACAACUAAAGCUUUGACAUUCAAACACUCUUAAAUGAUCCAGAUUAGCUGACUUCCCAUAGAGCAUUACAUAGGGUAUCUAUCCUUGCAAUACUGGUGUUGAUAGUUUAUUAAUCAAUUAUGUAGCAGUGAGGUUGUGAGUUCGAGUGUACCCAAGAGCAAGGUGGGAAGUUCUUGGAGGGAAGAUGCCGGGGGUCUAUUUGGAAACAGCCUCUCUACCCAAGGGUAGGGGUAAGGUCUGCGUGCACACUACCCUCCCCAGACCCAGUUCGAGUGUACCCAAGAGCAAGGUGGGAAGUUCUUGGAGGGAAGAUGCCGGGGGUCUAUUUGGAAACAGCCUCUCUACCCGAGGGUAGGGGUAAGGUCUGCAUACACACUAGCCUCCCCAAACCUCACUAAGUGGGAUUAUACUGGGUUGUUGUUGUUGUAUGUAGCAGUGCUAACACACCUUCCCCAGAAGUUGAGAGGUACCCCACUUUGAAAUUCUAGAGCUCUAGCAACAUCUAGAAUAUGCCUAUAUUUUCUAUCUAUACCAUUUUUUUAGCAGUAUAUGGGCAGUUACUUUAGUGUAUAAUUCCAUUUUCAACUAACAAUACAUUACAUUUGACAUUAAAAAAAUAAAUGUGUCAUUGUCUGAUCUCACGGUCUUGAUUCUAAAAUAAAACCGUGUCUUUAUUAUUGAGAUAAAAUCCUUCAAUACAAUACACACUUCACACUUAGAUUGUAUUAAGCAUACUCAUAUGUAUCCAGUAAAAUCAUCAAUAAUACAACAACCCAGUAUAAUCCCACUUAGUGGGAUCUGGGAAGGGUAGUGUGUACACAGACCUUACCCCUACCCUAGGGUAGAGAGGCUGUUUCCAAAUAGACC